UACGUAGGGUGCGAGCGUUAAUCGGAAUUACUGGGCGUAAAGCGUGCGCAGGCGGUUUUGUAAGCCAGAUGUGAAAUCCCCGGGCUUAACCUGGGAAUGGCAUUUGGGACUGCAAGGCUUGAGUGCGGCAGAGGAGACUGGAAUUCCUGGUGUAGCAGUGAAAUGCGUAGAUAUCAGGAGGAAUACCGAUGGCGAAGGCAGCUCGCUGGAACGGUACUGACGCUGAGGCGCGAAAGCGUGGGGAGCGAACAGG
rnacentral:rRNA from 1 species